rfam:Triticum urartu cultivar G1812 contig1092788, whole genome shotgun sequence.
GAAGUACUCCCUCUAUCCGGAAUUACUUGUCGCGGAAAUGGAUAAAAUGGAUGCAUCUAGAACUAAAAUAUGUCUAGAUACAUCCAUUCCUCUGACAAGUAUUUCCGGACGGAGGGAGUACCAU